rnacentral:lncRNA from 1 species
AAAGUAAUUUUCCAUGGGCAUUGUUCAGAGUUGCUUUGGUUCUUUUCAAAGCAGUCAACACAUUUUAUAAUAUCCCUGAAAAUCAUUUUAAACUCAAUUUAUUCCAAUCUACUGGCAGACUAUAAAUAUAGCUUUAUCUGUGUAUAGCGGUGAAAACAAAAGAGCAUCACAUUUAGUGAAGAUAUCUGAUAACUGGGAUUUCAAAUUUAAAGAAAGGAAAACAAAGAAGUGCACUCGAUUUUAAUGUUUAGCUUUAACACGGAUGGCCCUAAAACUGGGAAGUAAAUCUAGACUGGUUUGUGGUUUCUCUACCCUUCUGGGAGCCUAAUCAGUUGCUUCAAGCCUUUCUUUGUGCUUCUCAUCUCCUUUCCAGAGCUGAGAAUCUUCCCUCUCAAAUCUUAUCUUUAAAAAGCGAUCAAAUCUGUACUGUUUGUUCCUUAAUAGAAAUGUUCAUUUUAAAAUAAACCCCCUCUUAAGGAUAUUUGCAUUUUAAGACUUAUCUUCAUUAUUCUUAUAAUAAUAACAACAACAGUGGUGGUGGUUGCUGUUAAAAAGGAACAGUCAUACCCUGAAGGAAAUGAGUUAGAAUAACAUUAUAUCAGUAGAUUUUUUUUUGUACUCCUAGCCACAGUUGCUUGGAAAAAAAAGUACCCAUUACAAAUACUUACAUCUUAAAGAGAAAUAAAGAAUUAUUAUACAAAUGCCUUGUUGUGUUAAAAGGAAGAAAAAAUAAUUUAGAAUAUAUACAUGGAUUUAAAAAUGCUCCUCAGGGAGUGCCCGUCAUGGCUCAGUGGUUAACAAAUCCCACUAGGAACAAUGAGGUUGUGGGUUCCAUCCCUGUCCUCGCUCAGUGGGUUAAGGAUCUGGCAUUUCCGUGAGCUGUGGUGUAGGCUGCAGAUGCUGCUCGAAUCCUCCGUUGCUGUGGCUGUGGUGUAGGCCAGCAGCUACGGCUGAGAUUAGACCCCUAGCCUGGGAACCUCCAUAUGCUGAGGGAGCGGCCCUAGAAAAGGCAAAAUAAAGACCCCCCCCCCCAAAAAAAUUUGCUCCUCAGGCCGCCAUCUAGAAUGCAUGACUCAACUCAGAAAUAAGAUCUGAGAGCUCUGAGAAGCAGCAAUUAUUGUGAAUUCACAGAGGUGGUGAUGAUUCCAUGGAGAUGAUAAGACAAAAAUUAGACAUUGAUGGGAUGGAAAAUUUCAUUUAACAAUUCAGUCCAUCUGCACAUUUGAUUUCACAUAGACUGAACAUCGAGAUGAUUGACUUAUUAAACCUAUGACAAAAUGGAUUUCAGGUUUUUGCUAUUUUGGCUUUACAACAUAUGUUAGAAAGAGUUGAGAAAAUAUUUCUUUAGAGGGGGAUCUUUUAACAUGAGGAGAGAUUAAAGGAGUUAAUUUUGAGUUGCUUCAAUUUAUUCAGACAAGCCUUUUAACCUGAUCACUUAAAUUUCAACUCUUGCUGCCUUCAGACUUACUUUGCACAUGAAUUGCUUCCUUGUAACACUCUAUAGCUUCCUCCAGACUUCACUUCCUUCUAAAUUAUUUAAUUAUUUAAAUGACCAGGAUUAUUUAACAAUCCUGAUUUUUUUUCUCCUCUACCUUCAAAAAGGUAGGAGAAAAAAUCCUACCUUUUUUUCUCCUCUACCUUCAUUGACUGCCACUGCCCCUACUUCUGAGUCACUCUCUUAACCUCUGCAGUCUGACCACUGACCUUACUCUGUGUAAGAGAAUGUUGCCGGCCAAAGCAAAAGACUGUCUAGGAAUUCCCAUUGUAGUUCAGCAGGUUAAGGACGCAGUGUUGUCUCUGAAGAUACAGGUUCGAUCCCUGGCCUGGCUCAGUGGGUUAUGCACAAGUUGCAGCACAGGUCUUAGAUGCGGCUUGGAUCCAGUGUUGCCAUGGCUGAGCAAAUAUAAAGAUGCUCUCCUUUCUGUCUCCUCAAGCUCAGAACCUCACUACUUUUCCUACUCCCAGAAUUUCUAUGCUACUGGAGGUUCUGUGCUACUGGAGGUUCCCACUGUGAACUAUUCCUAGGGCCCUAGCAGUCAUCAUUUUACACAAUUUGUUCCUGUUCUACUCUUCUGGGUUUGUCUCUUUCUCUUUCCUUUCUCCAUCUGAGAUUCUGGCUGAAGAAAAAACUCCCUGUGCCCCAAACAUGUGCCAUAUUUUCCCAUCUUAGGUCACUGCUUACCAUUGACUCCAUCUAUAAUGUUCAGCCCCAUCAUUUCUACCCAUCAAAAUCCUACCCAUCCUUCAAGCCCAGAUCAACUCUUCAACAGAUAAAGGACUAACUUAAUAGAGGCCUCGGGACGAUCUUGAUCACGGUCACACAGCCAAGAUUCUUGGUAUGAUCUAAAGUCUGCCAGCAGUGCUGCCCUUUAAAUAGAUCAGCACUGCACAUUGGUAAUCAGCAUCCACAGAAAUUCCCAUAGUUUAGCUUAUCAAAUGUCAAAAGAAAAAUAUACACCCAAGGUUCCUAUAUCCAAAUCAUAAAUUUCUUCUGCAAGUACAGCACUAAUCAAAAAGUGCUCAAGACUUCCUAUCUGAGCCGCAAAGUCAGUGUCCUACCUGCCUUCCUGGUCUUAGCUCUCUGUUUUCAACUUUCUCCUCUCUCUCUUUCUCAUUUAUUGAUUUUAGUACCUUUCCUGCUACUGGUUUAUGUGUCAUAAUCCUGUAGGGAAUCGAGUAGAUGCUUCCAAUUAGAUUCAUUACAAGUUCCCUCAAGAAGUGAUUAGGAAGGUAGAAUCCCAAGUGGCUGAUUCCUUCAGUAAUCCCAGCAGCAUUUUUGGGGUGCUUGCCAAAACUAGACCAGGUUUUAAAAGCUGCACUUACCAGUCUAUCAUGAAGAGAUACUGGGAAGCUUGCAAAACUGCGAGUGCAAUUGUGCUUUACUGAAGGCCCUCAUAUGGCAAUAACAAGGAAAGCUGAAAUAUGAAAGCCUCAUCGAAGGGCAGUUCCGAGAGGUGGUUAAUUAGUGCACUGGUCUAUGUAGUAAGAUGAUGCUGGGUUUAAAUUUUAGUGACACCACUCACCAGCUGUAAGACUUGGGCAAAUUACUUAAAUUCUCUGAGACUCAAUUUUCUUAUCUGUAAAAGGGGAUAAUAAGAGCACUUUGGGGAGAAUCAAGUCUGCACAGUACUUGGCUACAGUGUUCAAAUAAAUGGAAGCUAUUAUCAUUACCAUGGGAAAUGACAUUCUAGUGAAUCAUGAAUUGCUUCCCAUUCCAAAACCAAGACCUUGACAUUGCUAAGCUAUUUGUGAGCACUUUAGGCAAUAAGGAAGAUGGAAAGUAAGGGAAAGGAAAAUGGGAGAGCAGAGGUUUUCCUAUUCUCAGUGCUUCCAGGCCCUCAUUGUUGCCAAACACUUUAUAUAAUUGAGAUACUAUUGUAAAAACAUUUUUCUUUCUCUCCUUUUAUAAAUCUGGUUUCCUGUAGCCAUUUAGUAAGUAUAGCCUGAGAAAAUCCUUAAUCAAGAUAAAGGAAAACAUGAUGUAAAUGAAUUCCUUCCUUCUGGCCUGAUAGAUUACAGGAAAAAUAACAGAAGGCAAAAGGACAUGCAAGUAUGUCCUCUCCAGGGUCACAAUUUGGAAGAAGAUGGAAGGAGAGAUGGAACAUAAACUGAGGGAGAACCAGACACACAAGCAGAGGGAACAUGUGCCCUAGUCUUUGUUCAGAACUCUGAGAGGCCCAUCUCUCUUGUCACAAUGGAGUGCACAAGCCCAGACACUGCGCUCACAGAGAAGUGGGAAAUGCACAGAAAGGAAACUGAAAAAUUGGCUCAUCUAUCCUCUUUGGAAAAUAAUUGUUCACAAAUAGAAGUGUGGUCUUUGCUGAGAAGUAAUCUCUAAACCUUGGAAUGUCCUGCCUGAUAAGAGUGUCUUUGUUUACCUGGGAGCUGCAGAGCACACGGGAUAGUCUAUGCUAACAAUAUGAUUCAUGGUGGGGCCUUUGGGCCACCUCAUCAGCUCCAUCUCUGGGAGAGGCUGGAAGCUAAGAUGCAGGUGGUCAACCAUAAUUAUGUGACAGAGUGCCAGUAAAAACUCUGGAGAUCAUGGCUCAGGCGAGAUUCACAGGCUGGCAACACUGCACACUGUUACACGCCGUGGCUGGGAGGAGUUAGCACUGUCAGAGACUCCACUGGGAGAGGGCCACUAGAAGGUUUGUGUUUGAAAUUCUGGACUCUGCCCCAGGCAUCGCUUCCCUUGGCCAAUUUUAAUCUGUAACUUUUUGCUAUAAUAAGCUGUAAUCACGAGUAAGACAGAGUUCAGUGAGUUCUGUGAAUCUUCCAGUAAAUUAUUGAAAUGGAAGUUGGUCUUAGGGACUCUCAAACACCCCAAAGAGACUGAGUUACCUAGCAUGACCAGUGAGGGAAAUUAUAUCCAUUAGAGAAAAUUAAGAAGCCUCAUAGUCUUGCCGACUUUGAGUGAUAUUGUAUAAAUGUGUGAACCUACUACCCAAUUGAGGAAAGAUUCUUUACCACUCUGAAUGAAUCAUGGUUGAGGAGUUCCCUGGUGGCUCAGUGGAUUAAGGAUACAGUGUGUCACUGCUGGGGCUUGGGUCACUGCUGUGAUGCAAAUUCAGUCUCUGGCCUGGGCACUUCUUCAUGCCAUGAGCAUGGCCAAAAAGAAAAAGAAAAAGAAAAAAGAAAAAAAAGAAACAUGGAUGAAAGAAUCAGGGUUGGUAAGUCUUUCUUCCCUUAAAGUAAGAAAGAGGACAUGAGGACUGCCUUCGAAUGUUUUAAAAGCUGUCAUGUGAGAAAGAACUAGAAUUAGUUUGUCUGGCUAGAGGGUUAUAUAAAGCCCAACUGAGGGAAGUUAAGAAGGGCCAGGUUUCAGUUUAUUCUAAGCACAAACUUAGUGACAACCAGAGGCCCCUAAAAACAGAAGGGGCUGGCUCAAAGACAGUCGAGCUCUCCAUUACCAGAGAUCUGGAAGUAGAGGCUGGAUGACCCCUUGGGGUGAGUUUGCGUAUGAGGUGACAGUUGAAUCAAAUGUCCUUUUCAGUUACAUUCCAAGCUGAAAGGCUACGAUUGGGAUAUAAGGGAAUGUGGCAAAAUGGUGAGCCUAUAUAUGGGUAUAUUAUUCUUUAAAUAUUUCUCUAGGUUUGAUUUUUUUUAAGUUGGAAAACCAACUAAAGAGGAAAUUAUUUAGUGGCUGAAAGUCUUCAGUCAUUCUAGAAAGGAACAGAAUUUUGCCUUUUUUUUUUUUUU